rnacentral:rRNA from 1 species
UCCUACGGGGCGCAGCAGUGAGGAAUAUUGGUCAAUGGGCGCGAGCCUGAACCAGCCAAGUCGCGUGAGGGAUGACGGCCCUACGGGUUGUAAACCUCUUUUGUCGGGGAGCAAAUUCCGCCGCGUGUGGCGGAGUCGAGAGUACCCGAAGAAAAAGCAUCGGCUAACUCCGUGCCAGCAGCCGCGGUAAUACGGAGGAUGCGAGCGUUAUCCGGAUUUAUUGGGUUUAAAGGGUGCGUAGGCGGUCCGCUAAGUCAGCGGUAAAAUUGCGGGGCUCAACCCCGUCGAGCCGUUGAAACUGGCAG